UACAGAGGUCUCAAGCGUUGUUCGGAUUCAUUGGGCGUAAAGGGUGCGUAGGUGGCGUGGCAAGUCUGAUGUGAAAUCCCGGGGCUCAACCCCGGAACUGCAUUGGAUACUGCCAUGCUUGAGCACUGGAGAGGAGACUGGAAUUUACGGUGUAGCAGUGAAAUGCGUAGAUAUCUGGAGGAACACCGGUGGCGAAGGCGGCAGCCUGGACCAACACUGACGCUGAGGAGCGAAAGCCAGGGGAGCAAACGGG
rnacentral:rRNA from 1 species